rnacentral:rRNA from 1 species
UCCAGACUCCUACGGGAGGCAGCAGUGAGGAAUAUUGGUCAAUGGGCGCGAGCCUGAACCAGCCAAGUCGCGUGAGGGAUGACGGUCCUACGGAUUGUAAACCUCUUUUGCCGGGGAGCAAGCGUGCGUUCGUGAACGCGCGUCGAGAGUACCCGGAGAAAAAGCAUCGGCUAACUCCGUGCCAGCAGCCGCGGUAAUACGGAGGAUGCGAGCGUUAUCCGAAUUUAUUGGGUUUAAAGGGUGCGUAGGCGGGAUGCCAAGUCAGCGGUAAAAAUGCGGUGCUCAACGCCGUCGAGCCGUUGAAACUGGCAGUCUUGAGUGGGCGAGAAGUAUGCGGAAUGCGCAGUGUAGCGGUGAAAUGCUUAGAUAUUGCGCAGAACUCCGAUUGCGGAGGCAGCAUACCGGCGGCGAUCUGACGCUGAGGCACGAAAGCGUGGGUAUCGAACAGGAUUAGAUACCCGUGUACGC